AGAGACCGGCGCACGGGUGCGUAACGCGUAUGCAAUCUACCUUUCACAGAGGGAUAGCCCAGAGAAAUUUGGAUUAAUACCUCAUAGUAUAUCGAGUUGGCAUCAACAUGAUAUUAAAGUCACAACGGUGAAAGAUGAGCAUGCGUCCCAUUAGCUAGUUGGUAAGGUAACGGCUUACCAAGGCAACGAUGGGUAGGGGUCCUGAGAGGGAGAUCCCCCACACUGGUACUGAGACACGGACCAGACUCCUACGGGAGGCAGCAGUGAGGAAUAUUGGACAAUGGGCGCAAGCCUGAUCCAGCCAUGCCGCGUGCAGGAUGACGGUCCUAUGGAUUGUAAACUGCUUUUAUACGAGAAGAAACACUCCUUCGUGAAGGAGCUUGACGGUAUCGUAAGAAUAAGGAUCGGCUAACUCCGUGCCAGCAGCCGCGGUAAUACGGAGGAUCCAAGCGUUAUCCGGAAUCAUUGGGUUUAAAGGGUCCGUAGGCGGUUUAGUAAGUCAGUGGUGAAAGCCCAUCGCUCAACGGUGGA
rnacentral:rRNA from 1 species